UAAGAAAAUGAAAAUGUUCAUAGUUCCUAUGAAAUUUUUUUUAAAAAAAUCAUGUUCAGAAGAGUCAUUUGAUCUCUACUAUAAGAUGGCUGAUAAGUGGGGUCUUAUCUCUAUUUAGAUAUGUUCAGUUUCUGAACUGCAAUCUGCCACUAGAGGAUGAUACAUAUGAGUACUUUUUAAAUAUGAAAUAUUAAAUCAUAACAUGAACUUACCAUAUGCUAUCUGAAUGAUAAUUCUUAAGCAGGCAGAACCAUCCCAUUUACAUACUAGACUAGAGGAAGGUUUAAGUUUUUUUUUAAAAAAAAUCAAAUAGCUAAGAAAAAUAAUAGCCAAGUAAAAAAGAAUUUAAGGUGAUGGGACACAAAAAAGACCAAUUGUUGAAGGAGGAAACAAAACCUAAAGGUGGGGGAUGGAGGUGUAGGCAGAUUUCAACCCAAAACAAAUUCCACAGUGCUACUUUUCCUCACAAGAUCUAUUUAUACACAUGCAGUAGGGAUUUCGGGAGGAAUGGACAUGAUGAUAAAAAUUGACAUUUAUAAAUCAUAAUGCAACUUCCCUUUAGUGUUUCUACUUUCUGCCUUGUUAUUGAGAAUGUUUUUUUACAGUUUCUACUUUCAUGUAACAAUAGUUCACUUUUUAACAACUUAUAUCAUUGUUUUAUUUCAUCUAAAUAUGUUGCUUUUUCUGCCCAGCAUUUCUUGAUGUCUAUUUUCAGAAAACUCAAAGUAUACAUAAAGUGUAUCAGUAAUAUUUGGAUUGUAUAGGUUGCUUUUAAGUGGACUUGGUUUUGUGGUUUGCUGUUACUUUUUCUGCUGAUAAGGAUCUGGCAAAAGAGUAGUUUGUUGUUUCCUUCUUUGAUGAAUUUGAUUCCAGCACACACCCCAACCAGCAGCCCCAUUACACAGCUAUCAACACCAUCAACCUUACAAGAAGCCACCAACACAAUGAGCCAUGAUCUUAUCAAUCCAAGUAAAUAAUCAGCAUGGAGCUAUCAAUCAUCUGCAAAAUAACAUCUGUCUAGAGGAUCAUCCCCUGCAAGCAUUCAGAAAAUUCAUCCAACACUGCAGGGACCACUCCAAAGAAAGGAAAAGUCUGUCAAGAAAUAUUUUUAGAAAUAUUUUAAAGAUCAAAUCUAAGUAUACGGCAGAUAGCAGCUAGACUUGAAAGAAAGAAAGAAACUUCAACCCAGAGCUGAAGACAUCCCCAUCUCUAAUAGGAAUGGCAAUCUUGUUCAAUCUGGAGGCUUCAAAGAAGAUUGCUGGAAUGUAUAGCUGAAACAGGUGAAAGAUAUUCAGUCAUUUUUUAAUGUGGUUGAAACAAGUUUAAAGAAGAAACUGGGUACUUAAGCUUUGCAGAAGCUUGCCAAAGAAAAUAGAGCUGGAAACACCAAGAAAGCUAUAGGUGGCUUGCAGCCUACCUAUGCAAUUCUAUAAACAGAUUUCCAAGAAUUUCUUUUUAAAACAACUUAUAUAGCUUUAACAUUAAGUUCAAAGUUUCUGGUUGGAUUUCAGUCUGGAUUUCAAGAAUUAAAUCUUUUUUGUUUAAAGACUACUCAUUCAGUUAAUUUUUUUAUAUGGCUACUAAUUUUGUAAAUGUGGCUGUGGGUGGCCAACAAAAUUUUAAAACCAUACAACCAAAGAAUUAAAAACAAACAAAACAUGAAACAAGCUUGCUAUGGCAAGUGAGAAAAACAGCAACCAUACCACUUGUGCUCAACUAACUGACCACAUGGGUAAAGAGAACUGAAGAAAGAUGGCCCCUAAAACAACCCAUGAAAUAGUUUACAUGUAUUUAUGAUAAAAAUUAGGACCGGAAUUUCCAAUGCUAAGCAAUGCGAUCAUAAAACAUAAUUGCAUUGCCUCACAAAGACAAUUCCUGCAUACUGAUUGCCAUGAUUAACUGAAUCCCACAUUGUGAGGCAGCUUUCCCCCAGCUUCCCACAGCCAACUCAAUGGGGAAGCCAGCAGGAAAUUGCAAGUCCCUGAUGGCUCGUUGGCAGGUAGAUAAGUGGCUGCUGGCAGGUUGGGAAGAGCACAAGAGGGUGUGCAAGGAGACAAAGAAGGCUCAGGGAAAGUCUGCAGGGAGUGAGAUUUAGCAACGGUCAGGGAGGGUGCAAAAGAAGUAGGUAAGGGUCAUAGAGAAUGCACAUGGGGGCACAGGAGUGUGCGGUAAAGCUUGGAACUGUGUGUGAGGGUUCAUGGAACUGUGUGAGGGUGCAAUGGAGAUGCA